UGGGGAAUCUUGCACAAUGGGGGAAACCCUGAUGCAGCGACGCCGCGUGAGCGAUGAAGCCCUUCGGGGUGUAAAGCUCUUUCGGCAGGGAAGAUCAUGACGGUACCUGCAGAAGCAGCUGCGGCUAACUACGUGCCAGCAGCCGCGGUAAUACGUAGGCAGCAAGCGUUGUUCGGAGUUACUGGGCGUAAAGGGUGUGUAGGCGGUUGUUUAAGUUUGGUGUGAAAUCUCCCGGCUCAACUGGGAGGGUGCGCCGAAUACUGAAUGACUAGAGUGCGGGAGAGGAAAGUGGAAUUCCUGGUGUAGCGGUGAAAUGCGUAGAUAUCAGGAGGAACACCGGUGGUGUAGGCGGCACUCUGGACUGUAACUGACACUGAGGCACGAAAGCGUGGGGAGCAAACA
rnacentral:rRNA from 1 species